rnacentral:rRNA from 1 species
AGUGAACGCUGGCGGUAUGCCUAGCACAUGCAAGUCGAACGGCAGCACAGUAAGAGCUUGCUCUUACGGUUGGCGAGUGGCGGACGGGUGAGGAAUACAUCGGAAUCUACUUUUUCGUGGGGGAUAACGUAGGGAAACUUACGCUAAUACCGCAUACUACCUACGGGUGAAAGCAGGGGAUCUUCGGACCUUGCGCGAUUGAAUGAGCCGAUGUCGGAUUAGCUAGUUGGCUGGGUAAAGGCCCACCAAGGCGACGAUCCGUAGCUGGUCUGAGAGGAUGAUCAGCCACACUGGAACUGAGACACGGUCCAGACUCCUACGGGAGGCAGCAGUGGGGAAUAUUGGACAAUGGGCGCAAGCCUGAUCCAGCCAUACCGCGUGGGUGAAGAAGGCCUUCGGGUUGUAAAGCCCUUUUGUUGGGAAAGAAAAGCAGCAGGUUAAUACCCCGCUGUUCUGACGGUACCCAAAGAAUAAGCACCGGCUAACUUCGUG